ACCAAUGUGGCGUAGUGGUUUGAGUGUCAGACUGGGAGUCUGGAGACCAGGGUUUAAUUCUCAGCUUGGCCA